GGAACCCAAAGUGGAUAAUAGAGUUAAAGUGAGGAUACAAUCUUCCAUAGAAAUGCAGAUCUUCAAGGACCGAUGGACCGAUGCAGCAAAGAAGGAUAGAUGUUGGAUCGACCCGUAUCUGUAAGUAAUUACAAAAGUCAACCAAUGUUUAUUGUGAUAGUUGGAAUAAAGCUGGAAGUGAAGGUGUUCCAGUCUCCAGUAACAGAGCUCAAAC
rnacentral:misc_RNA from 1 species